AGCCUUCUAUAUCCAUGCUGAGAUUUCGUCAGCGAUCAACCAGCUUGGUAUGAUGCAACUUUCCAGAUACGUGAAGUG
rnacentral:pre_miRNA from 1 species